GUAUACAGCGACAAACUCGCAGGCAAAACAGGUUAGGCCAGUCUGCCAGAGCGAAGUAAAGCAGUGCCUGCACAGCGCUGACAAGUACGUCUACUGCGCAGAGGUCACCCUAGAGGACAACUUAACCAAGUAAAACAGGCCUGAGCAAACAAGCUCACAGCAUGUCUGUGUGUGUUUGUGUUUGUGUGCGCUUGUGUUUUCUGUGGUAUUCAAAUUCCACAGCCUAAGAGUAGAAUGGACUACAGCCAGAGAGGACCCGAGGUUAUUUCAGCCAGCUACACGUCAAUGUUUAGGUGCCCAUGCCGGCCCCGUCAGGUAUGUCAGCUGCUCUCCUGCCUGUGAGGAGGGGAUUGGGCCCCAGCAGCGCAGGAACCUGGGACCUUUCAUUUAAGAUGGCGCUGAAAGCUGCCCCCAAGGUGGAAAGAUUCCCCAUCGGUCAAAAUGCUUUCAGGAAUGGGACACUGGAGCAGCUGGGGAAAAAAAAAUAAAAAAAUCCCCAACUGCAAACGCACACACACACAUUGUUUCACCGGAAAAUCUAAGAAAAUGUACUGGUACAAAUAAAGCAAGCACGCAGAGUACAAUAAAAA